GUCUGAAGACAGCAGAACCAGGGCUCAGACCAAAACCAGGACUUGGACCAGGACCCAGACCAGAACCAGGACCCAGACCAGAACCAGGACUCAGACCAGAACCAGGACCCAGACCAGAAUCAGGGCUCAGACCAGCAUGUCAGAGUCCAUCAGGAGGAGAAGCUCCAGCAGACAGCUCCUGCAGAACCUCAUCAGGGUGACGGCGCAGCGGAGCCAGGAGGACGCCGAGGAGGCGGAGAGGGAGCGGAGGAGGAGAGCCAGGGAGAGGCAGAGAGGAGGAGAGGGGAGCCCAUCCUGGCCGGAGCCCCCCCAGCACAACCACCUCACACACAAUGCAGGGUUGGAUGAGGAGCUGAAGCCCCGCUGCCUGGUUCUGGAGGAGGACGAAGGUUUCAGCGACUGGAGCCACAGGCUGGAGACCCGUAACGAGCAGGAGGUGCAGGCAAACAGUCGGACCAGACCUUCAGCACCUCCUGACCCUGAGGUGGAGGGAGGGGAGCUGGAGCACAGCAGGCGGGCUCAGAAAGCUUCAAGAACAGCUCCAGAGAAGGUCAAACAGAUCUCCUGCAACAAAAAGGAAGUGAUGACGUCCUACAGCUCGUCAGUCUUCCUGCCACAGGACGCCAGGCUGCAGCAUGCCGCAGGCCGACCGGCAGAGAGGACGUCGUACCUGGCUGCAGGGACGAUGAGGCCACGUGGAGGAGCCUGCAGGGUGGAUGGGGAGGCAGAGCAGGAGGUGCAAAAAGAAGAAGAGCAGCAGCAGCAGCAGGAGGAAGAGGCGCAGCCCACAUUACAAAGGAAGUGGAGAUCAGCAGAAACCCGGCAGAGCACCAGAGAAGAAGAAGAAGAUCAGGAGGAAGAGGAGGAGCUGAGAUUCACACAUGAAGAGGAGGAGGAAGAGGAAGACGUCCACCUCAGGAGGGAGCAGAGACACAGAGAGGAAGAGGAGGAGGA
rnacentral:lncRNA from 1 species